CACAGGUUGUAGGUGGCGGGGCCAGUAUGGGGCCCACUGCUGCCCUGAUACGGCGCUACAGGUGGUAUCCUGCCUCUCAACUGGCCAUCCGCAUUGUGUUUGCUAAUAACACCUCUGCCGCUCCAGUUAAAUAAGGACAAUAGGAUAGGAGAGCUCUCAAGGUGUUUUGAGAAGGCAUCAAUGUCACAAGGUUAGCACGGAAAUGAAGGACAGUAAAUCGGUGAAGCAGUAAUUUUGAGUCAUCUAUCAUACCAUUGGAGGUCCCAUAUUGCUAACCAGAAACCUAGCAGCCAUCCAAGCAUCAGAAAAUUCCUGAAGAUGCUCACAACAGUUAAACAGAGCAGUCCCAUACAAUCAGCUUCACUGCGCAUAUGGAAUCUGGAAGCCCGGCUCAUGCAUGAACACAGUGCCGAAGAGCGGACGCCCAGAGGACUGCAGCGGCCGGACACGGGAGCGGGGCUUUGACAGAAGAGUCACACCGGAUGAAGCAAGCUAAACAAUACCCUGAUAGUGGGAUGAUAGAGCAUGGAAUAAUUAUUUAAACUCAGA